UAGCCUCUGGCUAUAGGAAAUUGUUAGUGGCAGACGGGUGAGUAAUGCGUAGGAAUCUACCUAGUAGUACGGAAUAGCCAUUAGAAAUGGUGGGUAAUACUGUAUAAUCCCCGAGGGGGAAAGAUUUAUCGCUAUUAGAUGAGCCUACGUUAGAUUAGCUAGUUGGUGAGGUAAUGGCUUACCAAGGCUAUGAUCUAUAGCUGGUCUGAGAGGACGAUCAGCCACACUGGAACUGAGAUACGGUCCAGACUCCUACGGGAGGCAGCAGWGGRGARUAUUGGACAAUGGGCGAAAGCCUGAUCCAGCUAUGCCGCGUGAGUGAAGAAGGCCUUCGGGUUGUAAAACUCUUUCAAUAGGGAAGAUAAUGACGG
rnacentral:rRNA from 1 species